AUGCAACAAAAUGACAGCACAUGGGUUUGGAAUGACAUGAAGGAAACAGAAAGGGUGAAAGAUGACUUGAAGAACUUCACCCCCUGCCUGUGUCUUUUGUCUGUGCUCUGUGGCAGCUGGAGUGAUUACACCUUCACUGUGUUUACAGUCACGACAAGAUUGACUUGCCACAUGCUUGCGGCAAUAUGGAGCUCUGGGCCAGUAGAGGGGGACAGUACUACUUUUGUUGGACCUCCUUUGUGCUGCACAACAGCUCGUAUCGUGUGCUGCUUGUGGGGAAAUCUCUCGCACCGGUUGGUCUGCUCACUGACUGCAGGCGCUGUGCUGUGUGUAGUAUCAGGACACAAGCAUUGCUUUCCUGCUGCAUAAAAGUGCAGGUGUGUUUUUCACCCUAGUCUUUUGUGUCUCUAUGGGUGGCUG
rnacentral:lncRNA from 12 species